rnacentral:lncRNA from 1 species
CAGUAUUUUCACGGCCGGAUGAAAAACGUACCCAAUUUAAACAGGUUACUACUCUGGCCCAGAAAAUAGAAUAUUAUUAGUAGAUUUGGAUAGAAAACACUCUGAAGUUUCUAAAACUGUUUGAAUGGUGUCUGUGAGUAUAACAGAACUCAUAUGGCAGGCAAAAACCCUGAGAAAGAUUGAAUCAGGAAGUGGGAGAAAUUAGAAAUGUUGUUUUUCUUUUGAAUCCCUUGAAAAAAUACAGUGACAUAGGAUUUACGUUGCACCUCCUUCGUUGUUUUUUAUUUUUCUUCUGGGAUGAAUACCUAUUGCCCGGUUGUAAAAUUAUCGCAAUUUUACGUAAAAAAAUACCCUAAAGGGUUGAUUGUAAACAUCGUUUGGCGUGUUUCUACAAAUGGUAAUGGAACUUUGAACAUUUCGUCUAUGGAUUUGCAUCCACGCCACAUGGCAUUGUAAAGUGUUCUGGAUGGGUCAACAAAACUGACAUAUUUGGACAUAAAUGAUGGACUUUGCAGAACAAAUUAACAUUUCUUGUGGAAGUGGGAGCCCUUCCGAGUGCAUUCCGCCGAAGAUCAGCAAAGACCUGGUAUCCAUUGAGAUGUCAGGUGUUGAAGUUAAUCAAUUCCCACCCACACUCUGAGGGGGUGCUAUUUAGAGAGCUAUGGACAUCUUCCAUAAGAUUGAAGGUCCCGGAGUGAACGUAACACUUGUACACUUGCAAAGCCGACUAAAAACGAGGGCUGAGGGGCUUACGUUGCAAACUUCCCUUGCUUGGCUAAUCAUUUGGACUGCCCUCCAAGAUGGUGACGGGGAUUGCCCCAAGAUCAUAAGGCGAGGGUAAGUGGAGGAGGAUGCGUCUUUUAAGUGUUUGGACCGCAGCCAAGGACAAUAAUAAUUGUUUCUUGAGAGGUAUAUGUGUGAUCAUGCACAAUACUGAAAGGAGUUAAAUAGAUGCACAUAGUAAUUCACCACUGGUUAGAGAGAGAGGAAUAUGAUGUGACCAGUUUGGCAGCAGACCAUAAUAUAAGUAAGUGUUUAUGAGUGAGCAAAGUUUUAAUUGAGUGUAAAAUGCACUGUAAAUUAUAAUCUGUAUCUAUUAGCUCUGCGGUGUCCGUCCAUUAAUUAUAUAUUACAUCCCUCAGACAAAGGGGCCACUUCUGAUUGACCGGAGCGCUGAAAAUGACAGCUGAGGUCAAGCUAUUGAAUGCUGACUGGGUGCCAUUGGGCAUUGAUAUUCAUGUCAUUUGAGGAGCCAAAUCUAUGGACAGGCUGAGGAUGUCCUUAUUGAUCACAGAUCCAGGAUCACAGUCACUGCAUUAUAAAGAGGGCCUCUCUGACCUGAUGAAAGACUUCUCCCACAAGUUCUGAAAACUUUGAGUGGGAGGUAAUGGAGCCUACAGAGGAGACAGUGAUCAGUGAGGGCAGGAAGGAAGGAGACAGUGGAGAGAAGAGGAUCAGCCAUUAAAGGUGAGCUGAGCGGGAAUGCAUGGUUCCCUCCACACCCACGCCAUUCUGCUACAGGAUAAACAAGAGUGAGAGAGAGAGAGAAAGAUCAAGAAAUGCAUCAGAUUUCAUUUCAAAGAGACAAAAAUGGGGAAGUGCAUUAAGAAUUCAAAUCAAACACAAAGUAAAGCAAAUACCAUCAGCCGCAAAUCAUCGGCUCCCUCUGAAACAGAAUCAAAGCAAGUCUCCCCCUAAAAUCCUGAAAGCGGCUUCAGAUAAUAGAAUUUGAAUGUGCAGAAUUGUUUUACAAUUUGUUUUCCAUUUGGUGUCUAAAAGGUGACAUGCUUACCAAGCAUCAAGCUACUUUGAACUUUUUACUUCUGAGGUGUCAUUCUGGUAUGUAACAAUACUAUACCACAUAGUGUAUUUCCUUGAUAUCAUGCUCCCAUUUUCCACUAUACAAAAUUUGCAGCUUCUGUGGUCCCAACCUGGUCUCAGAGCAUUUCAUAUUAUUCUGAACGUAAACCAUUUCAUAUGCUAUAUUACGAUUUACAAUUUGCAUUAUAUGUUACGUAUUUGACAAACGUACAAUAUGUUACGAAUUUGCAAAACAUAUGAUAUGUUACAAAUUCUAGCUAGUUGGCUAACGUUAGCUGUUACGAAUUUGCAAAUGUACAAUAUGUUACGAAUUUGCUAAACAUAUGAUAUGUUACGAAUUCUAGCUAGGUGACUAACAUUAGCUAGCUGGCUAACGUUAGCAAGACUAUGGGUUAGGAUUAAGGUUAGGUUUAAGUUUAAGAGUUAGGUUAAAGUGUUAGGGGAAGGGUUAGUUAAAAGGCGUAAGGUUAGGGUUAGGGGAAGCAUUAGCUAACAUGCUAAGUAGUUGUAAAGCUGCUAAAAAGUUGCAAGUAGUUGAAAAGAUGCUAAUUAGCCAAAAUUAUAAAGUUGUCCGUGAGGAGAUUCGAACUCGCAACCUUUGGGUUGCUAGACAUUCUACUUUCGUUUUUGCUUUAACCUGUCUGGGCUAGGGGGCAGUAUUUUCACGGCCGGAUGAAAAACGUACCCAAUUUAAACAGGUUAUUACUCUGGCCCAGAAACUAGAAUAUGCAUAUUAUUAGCAGAUUUGGAUAGAAAACACUCUGAAGUUUCUAAAACUGUUUGAAUGGUGUCUGUGAGUAUAACAGAACUCAUAUGGCAGGCAAAAACCUGAGAAAAAGUCAACCAGGAAGUGGAGGAUCUGAGAAUUGUAUUUCUUCUUUCUAGUCCCUUUCGAAACUACAGUAUCUGUGGGGUUACUUUGCACUUCCUAAGGCUUCCAUUGGCUGUCAAAAGCCUUCAGAAAGUGGUUUGAGCAUUCUCCUGUCACUGGGCAGAUAAUAGGAGCUCAGUUACUGAGUGGACUGCCUGGCAACAAAGCGAUUGGAUAUGCUCGAUCCCGCGAGUGCGCCCCUCCUUCUUUUUCUCCUUGAAUGAAUACGCUAUUGUCCGGUUGGAAUAUUAUCGCAAUUUUACAUAAAAAAUACCAUAAAGACUGAUUUUAAACAGCGUUUGACAUGCUUCUAAGUACAGUAAUGGAACAUUUAGACUUUUCGUCUCUGGUACCGCACUCGCGCGUUAUGCCUUUGGAUAGUGCUCUGAACGCACGAACAAAACGGAGGUAUUUGGACAUAAAUAUGUAUUAUUUCAAACAAAAACAACAUUUCUUGUGGAAGUAGCAGUCCUGGGAGUGCAUUCUGACGAAGAUCAGCAAACGUAAGAGAAUAUUUCUAAUACUAAUUCUGAGUUUAGGUUGCCCCGAACUUGACGGGUGUCUGUAUAGCUCUCUGUGAUGGCUGAGCUAUGUACUCAGAAUAUUGAAAAAUGUGCUUUCUCCGUAAAGCUAUUUUAAAAUCUGACAAAGCGGUUGCAUCCAGGAGUAGUCUAUCUAUAAUUCUUUAAAUAAUUGUUAUAUAUUUUGUCAACGUUUAUGAUGAGUAUUUUUGUAAAUUGAUGUGCACAAUCACCGGACGUUUGGUGGGAAUACAUUUUCUGAACAUCACGCGCCAAUGUAAAAUGCUGUUUUUGGAUAUAAAUAUGAACUUUAUCGAACAAAACAUACAUGUAUUGUGUAACAUAAUGUCCUAGGAGUGUCAUCUGAUGAAGAUCGUCAAAGGUUAGUGCUUCAUUUAGCUGUGUUUUGGGUUUUAUUGACACAUGUCCUUGCUUGGAAAAUGGCUGUGUGAUUAUUUUUGUCUAUGUACUCUCCUAACAUAAUCAAAUGUUUUGCUUUCGAUGUAAAGCCUUUUUGAAAUCGGACACUGUGGUUACAUCAAGGAAAAGUGUAUCUUUAAAAUGGUAUAAAAUAGUUGUUUGUUUGAGAAAGUUGAAUUAUGACAUUUUGUUGUUUUUGAAUUUGCCGCCCUGAUAUUUCACUGGCUGUGUCCCGCAGGUGGGUCCCACGUAGCCCAUAGAAGCUAAGUAACCACCUGUCAUAUGUAACCAUACCAAACGUAACAUAUCAUAUUAAUUUGGGUGUACCGGAUUUAAUUUACUAUGUUACGUCUUGUCUAUGAGACCAGGUUGGUGGUAUAGGGCUUCGGUAUGGGAGACCAAUGCAAUAUCUUUACCUGAAAUUCCUUUGACCUCCUAAUCUAAUUUACACAAACUAGGUUACAUUCAUUUCAUAUACCAACCCUGCAUGCCUGGAGUCGAUACCUCAGCUCUCCCCAAUCUGAAGUCAGCUGCCAGUUAGCUGCUACACUCUUUUAAAAAAGGGUUUCCCCUUUCCCCUCUAUGGAAAGGGUUCUACAUGGAACCCUUAAGGGUUCUACCCAGAACAGAAAAGGGUUAUUCAAAGGGUUCUCCAAUAGGGAAAGCCGAAUAACCCUUUUAGCUUCCAGAUAGCACCUUUUUUUCAAAGAGUGUAGCGACAUCCCAUUACGCAGAGGUUGACAACAGUCUUUUGGGGCAACACUAGCUCUGAACAGCACCUUUUCUGCCCCACCACUUUCAUACAGUCAUGUAGUAUGUUUUCAUAGUUAAUCACAAACGGUGAUAGCAGAAAACAGGUUACCAUUACAUGGCAGCUCUCUGAAGUGUUAGUGUGCAGGAUUGGCAGCUGAGUGCAGACACUUGGACAUCUGUAAUCACAUGACCGUUGCGGUUUCCUCCCUGUCUCUACAGCAGUACACCAGGGAUCAUUUUGACCUCAGAGCCUGUGUAAGGAGCACUACCCCAUAACCUUAUUAAUAUUUCAUAUUGACAUAUAUUACCAAACAAACUAACUCAGGUUUCUACACACUGUUGUUGGUAUCACUAAGAAAAAAUGUGAUGAUUUUAAUAAACUAUCACAAAUAUCUCUCUAAUGUAUGCCUUGGCCUAUUCAGUUUCUUCUCAUUUUCAUCCUUUUCACCUUCUCUCCUUCAAGUUUGAAUGUAUGUGAAUUUAAACACUAAGGAAAGCUCUUGUGUUGGUUUAGAAUAAGUGAAUGUGAAUUCCAGAACCACAGAGUGCAUAUUUUGGUUUGGAAUUCAGGACCAAGGACAACAGCAUCUGAGCACAUUGCAUUAUCAAAGGACUUCAGGAACAGAAGACCCAGUGAACCUUGAUGUGGGUGGGUGGUAGCUGACCUUGCAGUACUGUAUUGCCACAAUGUCUACAGGCCACAUACAUAGUUAAGUAGGUACACCCAUCUAGUACCGGGUCGGAUCCCCCUUUGCCUCCAGAACAGCCUGGAUUCUUCGGGGCAUGGAUUCUACAAGGUAUCGGAAAUGUUCCACAGGGAUGGC